rnacentral:misc_RNA from 1 species
AGAAGGGCAACUGGAAAAAAUGGAACCUCUAACCUCAAGGUCUUUCAAGAAAUUUAUCAUAUACUGUCACGCACACCUGGUAGUGAAGUCAAACGAUUAACCAGGUCUGGUGGAUUGCAGUUUGAGAAGAAUACCAAUCCCGAUAGUACUUUACAAGAGAUUGUCGUACUAGUUGCAGAAGUUAAUGGAAAGUCCAAGGGUGAUACUGAUAAAUUAGCAUUGAAUCUAAUG